rnacentral:lncRNA from 1 species
AGGAUUGCUUUUGGAAAGGGCCAACAGUGACUUAGAGGAAGAAAAGAGAGAGGAAGGAAGGAAGGGAAAGAGCCAGGGUCUGACAGACCUCACUCCUUUCAUUUUCAACUUGACCUCUGGCCUCAG